UAGUGUUUGGAUGACUGCAGAGCAUAUUUAUGGUUGAUUUGGCAUUCUUGGGAGAGAGGUGUUGUUCAAGCAUGAGGCAAGAUUUUAUUGAGGAAACAAAAGCCCCAUGGAGGUCAAAUUCCACCAGCACGCAAAAGGCGACUGCUCCUUAUAAUUUCUGGAAGCUGCGGCCAGCAGUUGGAAAGACAGCAUUAGCAAUAGCAUCACUAAGCCCUGAGAAUGCAGCUGGAAAGGGACUUCGGGAUUCUACAGGACAAAAGCUUCCACUGGAAGGUGAGGGCACAAUGUCUGCUUCUUUGCAGUGAACCUGAUUUUCCUGAUCUGUACGGGCAGCCUUCCCUUCCUCAAAGGCACUUGGCAGGCUGCAAAGGAAGGAUGGCAUAAAGUCUUUUGUGCCUAGAAGAUGCUCAGUCAUGGCACCAAUAUCUUCUCGUUCUCCUGAAAGUGGAAAUCCUAAACCUACAGAGAAUCAGAGAUGUGGAAAUAAAUUCUGCUCUUAGAGGCCACGUGACUGGUGCCCCGCCACUCAGCUGCCCAGUCUGGAGGGGGAAGAGUCACUCUGCUGCUACCGGCUUAAAGUGUAAACAUGUGCCCACAGUGUUUCUACUGACAGCACCCAAGGUGCUGGGAGAACAGCCUUCGCUUGCAGGAACAGUGGCUCUCCUGGAAAAGCCAGCUUGCUUGGCUGGAGUUGAGCCAGCAGAGCUGGCUCUCGCCCUGGCAAAUUCUCUAUCACUCCAAGGUCCAGGAGACUGGGAAAACUGGCCAGCGUCAGGGGGCCUCCCUCUGUACCAGCCUCCGGGUUCUUGCUCGGGGUGCUGGUUGGUGGCCUAGAAUACAACCGGUUUGAAUUCACCUCUUUCCACUGCCUGCAUUCAUAGGACAACUUACCUCUCACCUUACCGUGUUUCUAGAAGAGCACAGUUCUGAAUUCAGAAGUUACCAAGGAAUCGGUUUGGAGACUAUCCAGUGUUUAUGGGCAUCUUAAAUUCUUUGUUCUCUGUGGCCUAAAUGAAUUGGAAAUUCAAACUGGACUUCAAUCAAAUUUGGCAUAAAGACCAGGACAGCAAAC